AUGACGCGAACCUCCAGCCACACUGCGCCUCCGUCGCGCUUCUCGUCGGCCAUCUGCUCGGCCAACUCAGUCGGAAGGCCGACGCCUCCGCUCGCCGCGAAGAUGGCCACCUGCCCGGUACUGUUGACCGGCACACAGAGCUCCUGCACGGCACCGGUGGCGAGCGGGACGCCCCGAUACAGGACGACUGCUUCGCCGCCGACGCACUGCUCGUCGCGAAUACCGGAGUCGAUGCUCAAGGUGAGGUUGAACGCCCGGGGGACGCGGGAGUCGAGUCCGGCCGCGCCGUCCACGACGACUGAUAGCUCGGGUAGCAGGCGAGAGAAGUCCGUGGUUUUAAGGUCGUACAAGCUUAAAACAGUCACGUCGAUGAGUAGCGCGGCAGUCACAAUGGCCAAAACGAAAUCGGUAAGUGUGCCCUCGUAG
rnacentral:rRNA from 1 species